rnacentral:rRNA from 1 species
GCAGAACGCGAAGAACCUUACCCACACUUGACAUGCCUCUUUUGGCUUUCAGAGAUGAUUGCCUUCGGUUCGGCCGGGGAGUGCACAGGUGCUGCAUGGCUGUCGUCAGCUCGUGUCGUGAGAUGUUGGGUUGAGUCCCGCAACGAGCGCAACCCUUAUCGUAUGUUGCCAGCAUUUAGUUGGGCACUCGUGCGAGACUGCCGGUGAUAAGCCGGAGGAAGGCGGGGACGACGUCAAGUCAUCAUGGCCCUUACGUGUGGGGCUAGAAACGUGCUACAAUGGGAGUGACAGUGAGCAGCGAGGUCGCGAGGCCAAGCUAAUCUCCAAAAGCUCUCUCAGUUCAGAUUGUAGUCUGCAACUCGACUACAUGAAGUUGGAAUCGCUAGUAAUCGCAAAUCAGCAUGUUGCGGUGAAUACGUUCCC